UAACCGAGUGGCGGACGGGUGAGUAACGCGUGGGUAACCUGCCUCAUACAGGGGGAUAACGGUUAGAAAUGACUGCUAAUACCGCAUAAGCACACAGUACCGCAUGGUACGGUGUGAAAAACUCCGGUGGUAUGAGAUGGACCCGCGUCUGAUUAGGUAGUUGGUGGGGUAACGGCCUACCAAGCCGACGAUCAGUAGCCGACCUGAGAGGGUGACCGGCCACAUUGGGACUGAGACACGGCCCAA
rnacentral:rRNA from 1 species